CGGUAAAAUGGCUGAGAUUAGGCAAUAAACUGUAAAUUUAUUUACGAAAGAAUAUUUCUUUUACCGG
rnacentral:tRNA from 1 species